GAUGAACGCUGGCGGCGUGCCUAAUACAUGCAAGUCGAGCGAACGGACGAGAAGCUUGCUUCUCUGAUGUUAGCGGCGGACGGGUGAGUAACACGUGGAUAACCUACCUAUAAGACUGGGAUAACUUCGGGAAACCGGAGCUAAUACCGGAUGAUAUUUUGAACCGCAUGGUUCAAAAGUGAAAGACGGUCUUGCUGUCACUUAUAGAUGGAUCCGCGCUGCAUUAGCUAGUUGGUAAGGUAACGGCUGACCAAGGCAACGAUGCAUAGCCGACCUGAGAGGGUGAUCGGCCACACUGGAACUGAGACACGGUCCAGACUCCUACGGGAGGCAGCAGUAGGGAAUCUUCCGCAAUGGGCGAAAGCCUGACGGAGCAACGCCGCGUGAGUGAUGAAGGUCUUCGGAUCGUGAAACUCUGUUAUUAGGGAAGAACAUAUGUGUAAGUAACUGUGCACAUCUUGACGGUACCUAAUCAGAAAGCCACGGCUAACUACGUG
rnacentral:rRNA from 1 species